CCAGAAGCAUCAUCCAGCCUGGCCUGAAGCAGCGGCACCAGAUCGAUGGAGCCACAGCCAAACAGAUGCUGGAGCACAAGAUGUUUCUGCACCAGGAGUUGGUUAAUCUGCUGCAGGAGAUCGAGAGUAGCAAUGGUGCAGAGAAAGCCACGAUCCCUUCUGUCAGACAUCUCUGAGGUUGAAAUCAGCUUAACAGUUUAUGAGGACAGUGGUCCAUGUGCAACACCUCACACUCAGAUUUGUAAGCCCGCUUCAUAAGUUUGCCUGGGUCUGUCUGAAUGACAUCCCUUCUAUAGCAGUCAUAUUAAAAUUUGGGAGAGCAAGCA